AUACGGGGGGUGCAAGCGUUAUUCGGAUUUAUUGGGCGUAAAGGGCGCGUAGGCGGCUUGGAAAGUCAGAUGUGAAAGCCCGGGGCUCAACCCCGGAAGUGCAUUUGAAACUAUCAGGCUUGAGUAUGGGAGAGGGAAGUGGAAUUCCUGGUGUAGAGGUGAAAUUCGUAGAUAUCAGGAGGAACACCGGUGGCGAAGGCGACUUCCUGGACCAAUACUGACGCUGAAGCGCGAAGGCGUGGGGAGCAAACAGGAUUAGAAACCCUUGUAGUCC
rnacentral:rRNA from 1 species